AUACGUAGGUGGCAAGCGUUGUCCGGAAUUAUUGGGCGUAAAGCGCAUGUAGGCGGUAAUUUAAGUCUGUCGUGAAACUGCGGGGCUCAGCCCCGUAUGGCGAUGGAAACUGGGUUACUUGAGUGCAGGAGAGGAAAGGGGAACUCCCAGUGUAGCGGUGAAAUGCGUAGAUAUUGGGAAGAACACCGGUGGCGAAGGCGCCUUUCUGGACUGUGUCUGACGCUGAGAUGCGAAAGCCAGGGUAGCGAACGGGAUUAGAUACCCCGGUAGUCCUGGCCGUAAACGAUGGGUACUAGGUGUGGGAGGUAUCGACCCCUUCCGUGCCGGAGUUAACGCAAUAAGUACCCCGCCUGGGGAGUACGGCCGCAAGGCUUAAACUUAAAGGAAUUGACGGGG
rnacentral:rRNA from 1 species